rnacentral:rRNA from 1 species
UACGUAGGGGGCAGGCGUUGUCCGGAUUUAUUGGGCGUAAAGAGCGUGUAGGCGGCCGUACAGGUCAGCUGUGAAAACUCGAGGCUCAACCUCGAGACGUCGGUUGAAACCGUACGGCUAGAGUCCGGAAGAGGAGAGUGGAAUUCCCGGUGUAGCGGUGAAAUGCGCAGAUAUCGGGAAGAACACCCGUGGCGAAGGCGGCUCUCUGGGACGGUACUGACGCUGAGACGCGAAAGCGUGGGGAGCGAACAGG